CCUACGGGGGGCUGCAGUGGGGAAUAUUGGACAAUGGGGGCAACCCUGAUCCAGCCAUGCCGCGUGUGUGAAGAAGGCCCUCGGGUUAUAAAGCACUUUCAGUGAGGAAGAACGCCUGGUGGUUAAUACCCAUCAGGAAAGACAUCACUCACAGAAGAAGCACCGGCUAACUCCGUGCCAGCAGCCGCGGUAAUACGGAGGGUGCGAGCGUUAAUCGGAAUUACUGGGCGUAAAGCGCGCGUAGGUGGCUUGAUAAGCCGGUUGUGAAAGCCCCGGGCUCAACCUGGGAACGGCAUCCGGAACUGUCAAGCUAGAGUGCAGGAGAGGAAGGUAGAAUUCCCGGUGUAGCGGUGAAAUGCGUAGAGAUCGGGAGGAAUACCAGUGGCGAAGGCGGCCUUCUGGACUGACACUGACACUGAGGUGCGAAAGCGUGGGUAGCAAACAGGAUUAGAUACCCUUGUAGUC
rnacentral:rRNA from 1 species